rnacentral:misc_RNA from 1 species
AGUAGGAUAUAUAUACUACCCUGUCCUAAAAAUGUACGUCCCGAUACAUAAUCAAAAAUGAUAUCAUUUAGGACGGAGGGAGUAAUAAUUCCUAGUUACA